rnacentral:rRNA from 1 species
UAGGGGGCAAGCGUUAUCCGGAUUUACUGGGUGUAAAGGGAGCGUAGACGGCUUAGCAAGCCAGAUGUGAAAGCCCAGGGCUCAACCCUGGGACUGCAUUUGGAACUGCUUGGCUAGAGUGUCGGAGAGGCAGGCGGAAUUCCUAGUGUAGCGGUGAAAUGCGUAGAUAUUAGGAGGAACACCAGUGGCGAAGGCGGCCUGCUGGACGAUGACUGACGUUGAGGCUCGAAAGCGUGGGGAGCAAA